rnacentral:misc_RNA from 1 species
GAUGAAGAACGUAGCGAAAUGCGAUAAGUAAUGUGAAUUGUAGAAUUCAGUGAAUCAUCGAAUCUUUGAACGCACAUUGCGCCCGCCAGCACUCUGGCGGGCAUGCCUGUUCGAGCGUCAUUUCAACCAUCAAGCCCCCAGGGGCUUGUGCUGGGGCCCUGCGGCUGCCCGCAGGCCCUGAAAACCAGUGGCGGGCUCGCUAGUCACACCGAGCGCAGUAGCACAUCUCGCUCAGGGCGUGCGGCGGGCUCCUGCCGUGAAACCCCCCACUGUAACCCCAAAGGUUGACCUCGGAUCAGGUAGGAAUACCCGCUGAACUUAAGCAUAUCAAUAAGCGGAGGA